GGAGCCCAGCUUGGCGGCCUGAGCAGAGCGCGCUGUGUCCACUUCUCACCCGGCUAACUGCAGCUGCCAGCGUCCGCCCUCGACUCACACAGACUCACACAAUCCCCGCAAUCGGAACCACCGCACUGCCCUGGAGCUUCGGGGCCUGGUCAGCUUGCUUCAUGUCUUUGGCUUGUUUCUGUGGCCAAGCGGUGUGGAUGCGGAUGAGUGCAGGCCACUCGUCAGCAGAGCUCACCAACCUUGUCACCGCCUUCGAAAGAUGUGGAACAGAGCUCACCAAUCCUGUCGCUGCCUUCGUAAGAUGUGCAAGUUCUGAAAUUCAAUGCUGUUUUCUCCACCACAAAGGCUACCCCAGGCAAGGAAAGGCUGAUCUACUUUUUCUACAUAAUAUUUUAUUUCCCAUUAUAGCUUUACUGAAGUAUAGAUGAUGUGCCAUAAACUGCUAAUUAGGUCCAGUAGAAUUGUACCUUUUUGAAAUCAUCCCACUGUCAGGAUAAUGAACGCACUAGUCUCCUCCAGAAACCUCCUGGUGCCCUUGUGUGACCCACUUCCUCUCUGCCCACCCCAGGGCCCGGAAGUCCCUGAUCUGUUUUCGUUUCUGUAGAUCAGUUUGCGUUUUCUAGAAUUUAUGAUAAGGUGGACUGUGUAUUUUUGUGUGUGAGGUAAAGGACUUCUACACUC